rnacentral:rRNA from 1 species
GACGGAGGAUGCAAGCGUUAUCCGGAAUGAUUGGGCGUAAAGCGUCCGCAGGUGGCAGUUCAAGUCUGCUGUCAAAGACCGGGGCUUAACUUCGGAAAGGCAGUGGAAACUGAACAGCUAGAGUAUGGUAGGGGCAGAGGGAAUUCCUGGUGUAGCGGUGAAAUGCGCAGAUAUCAGGAGGAACACCAAUGGCGAAGGCAGCUCGCUGGGACGGUACUGACGCUGAGCGCGAAAGCGUGGGGAGCAAACAGG